GGGUUGUGAGGUUAAGCGACUAAGCGUACACGGUGGAUGCCUAGGCAGUCAGAGGCGAUGAAGGGCGUGCUAAUCUGCGAUAAGCGUCGGUAAGCUGAUAUGAAGCGUUAUACCCGACGAUACCCGAAUGGGGAAACCCAGUGUGUUUCGACACACUAUCAUGACAUGAAUCCAUAGUGUCAUGAGGCGAACCGGGGGAACUGAAACAUCUCAGUACCCCGAGGAAAAGAAAUCAACCGAGAUUCCCCCAGUAGCGGCGAGCGAACGGGGAGGAGCCCAGAACCUGAAUCAGUUUGUGUGUUAGUGGAAGCGUCUGGAAAGUCGCACAGUAAAGGGUGAUAGUCCCGUACACAAAAAUGCACAGAUUGUGAGUUCGAUGAGUAGGGCGGGACACGUGACAUCCUGUCUGAAUAUGGGGGGACCAUCCUCCAAGGCUAAAUACUCCUGACUGACCGAUAGUGAACCAGUACCGUGAGGGAAAGGCGAAAAGAACCCCGGCGAGGGGAGUGAAAUAGAACCUGAAACCGUGUACGUACAAGCAGUGGGAGCCUACUUGUUAGGUGACUGCGUACCUUUUGUAUAAUGGGUCAGCGACUUAUAUUCUGUAGCAAGGUUAACCGUAUAGGGGAGCCGCAGGGAAACCGAGUCUUAACUGGGCGUUAAGUUGCAGGGUAUAGACCCGAAACCCGGUGAUCUAGCCAUGGGCAGGUUGAAGGUUGGGUAACACUAACUGGAGGACCGAACCGACUAAUGUUGAAAAAUUAGCGGAUGACUUGUGGCUGGGGGUGAAAGGCCAAUCAAACCGGGAGAUAGCUGGUUCUCCCCGAAAGCUAUUUAGGUAGCGCCUCGUGAAUUCAUCUUCGGGGGUAGAGCACUGUUUCGGCUAGGGGGUCAUCCCGACUUACCAACCCGAUGCAAACUACGAAUACCGAAGAAUGUUAUCACGGGAGACACACGGCGGGUGCUAACGUUCGUCGUGAAGAGGGAAACAACCCAGACCGCCAGCUAAGGUCCCAAAGUCAUGGUUAAGUGGGAAACGAUGUGGGAAGGCAUAGACAGCCAGGAUGUUGGCUUAGAAGCAGCCAUCAUUUAAAGAAAGCGUAAUAGCUCACUGGUCGAGUCGGCCUGCGCGGAAGAUGUAACGGGGCUAAACCAUGCACCGAAGCUGCGGCAGCGACACUUAG
rnacentral:rRNA from 2 species